AGGGUGUAAACGCUGCAGACUUGGUGUUGGAAGUCCUUUGGGGGCAUUCAGUGCCGGAGAGAAGUUGUUAAGUCUGCUACUUGGGGAGUACGUCCGCAAGGAUGAAACUUAAAGGAAUUGGCGGGGGGAGCACCGCAACGGGAGGAGCGUGCGGUUUAAUUGGAUUCAACACCGUAAACUCACCAGGGAAGACUGUUACAUGAAAGCCGAGAUGAAGACUCUGCUAGAUUUUCAGAGAGGAGGUGCAUGGCGUCAGUGACU
rnacentral:rRNA from 1 species